CUGUUAGUUUUUAGGUGUUACAAGAGAGUCUCAUCCACUUUUUCCCAAAAUUAAGAAGCUGACUAUUAAGAUAGCAGUUCCCACCCUGAAAAGGUAAAAUAUAAAUAAGGAUUUCCUCGAGCUGAGCUUCCAGAAAUCCAAGCAUAUGGAAACCCUCUGUAUGUUGACAGAUAUGAAUUGAUUGAAGUUGGAUGAUGACUACCUGCUGUUUUUAGAAAUAUCCUUUCCAGAUAUAUCUAGUUUCUUUGCUUUCUUGAUGAUGUAAGCCUACGUAUAAUAGGGGAAGUUGCAUUGUUCCAUAAAAAUUGAGUGUUUCCUUCCUGUACAGCUGGGAGGUGGAAGGCUUAGGAACCUGUCUUGAGGUCAUGCCAAGCUCUGCAGUGAAGCCCAGAUAACCACAAGUGACAGCGUUUGAAGCAAGACACAACUGGCUGUGAUCAUCUCCUUGUGAGAGUUUGUGUGGGGUGUCUAUAUCGUGUCCAUCGUGUUUUUCACUGCAUCUAUUUCUUCAACCUGACUCUUUCUAUCCUGGAAGAAGUAGUGGCACGGGGUGCUGCUCACAGCCAUGCCUCACUAUUAGGGCUCAGGGAGCUGCUGGCAGGGCUGGCUCAGGCCUUCAGCCAGAGUGAGGCCCCUGGCCACCUCACCUUGUACCUAUGGGUCAGGAGGGUGUGUUGCAUUCUUUCUAAGUGUCACUGGGAAAAUAAGCAUGAAGAGAACUGUAAAAGAAUCACUUGGAUUGCAGAGACAGCUUUCCGUGUAAACAUGAUAUCUUAUUUAAUGGCUGUGAGUGUUCUUUGCAAUAGAUGGGUGUGCUGUGGGAAGAAAGUGCUUUAACAGUGUCCUUCUGGACCAAUU
rnacentral:lncRNA from 7 species